AUGCUUGCUUCAGCAGCACAUAUACAAAAUUGGAAUGAUACAAAAAAAUUAGCAUGGUCCCUGUGCAAAAACAACACGCAAAUUUGUGAAGGGUUCCAUGUUUUU
rnacentral:snRNA from 1 species